UWGAGUUUGAUCAUGGCUCAGAUUGAACGCUGGCGGCAGGCCUAACACAUGCAAGUCGAGCGGAAACGAUGGAAGCUUGCUUCCAGGCGUCGAGCGGCGGACGGGUGAGUAAUGCAUGGGAAUCUGCCCGAUAGUGGGGGAUAACCUGGGGAAACCCAGGCUAAUACCGCAUACGUCCUACGGGAGAAAGCAGGGGAUCUUCGGACCUUGCGCUAUCGGAUGAGCCCAUGUCGGAUUAGCUUGUUGGUGAGGUAAUGGCUCACCAAGGCGACGAUCCGUAGCUGGUCUGAGAGGAUGAUCAGCCACAUCGGGACUGAGACACGGCCCGAACUCCUACGGGAGGCAGCAGU
rnacentral:rRNA from 1 species